UACGGAGGGUGCAAGCGUUAAUCGGAAUUACUGGGCGUAAAGCGCACGUAUGCGGCUUGUUAAGCCAGAUGUGAAAGCCCCGGGCUCAACCUGGGAACUGCAUUUGGAACUGGCAAGCUAGAGUAUGAGAGAGGCAAGUGGAAUUUCCAGUGUAGCGGUGAAAUGCGUAGAGAUUGGAAAGAACAUCAGUGGCGAAGGCGACUUGCUGGCUUAAUACUGACGCUGAGGUGCGAAAGCGUGGGGAGCAAACAGG
rnacentral:rRNA from 1 species